AUGUACAUUCCUACAUCAUAGCGUUAGUGCAUCAAAUCCCAUUAGAACAUCGUAGUUAAGUGUGCUCAUGCUAGAGUAGUACUAGGAUGGGUGACCGCUCGAUAAUUCCUAGUGUUUUACAUA
rfam:Picea glauca, whole genome shotgun sequence.